CCUACGGGAGGCAGCAGUGAGGAAUAUUGGUCAAUGGACGAGAGUCUGAACCAGCCAAGUAGCGUGAAGGAUGACUGCCCUAUGGGUUGUAAACUUCUUUUAUAUGGGAAUAAAACGUUCCACGUGUGGGAUUUUGUAUGUACCAUAUGAAUAAGGAUCGGCUAACUCCGUGCCAGCAGCCGCGGUAAUACGGAGGAUCCGAGCGUUAUCCGGAUUUAUUGGGGUUAAAGGGAGCGUAGGUGGAUUGUUAAGUCAGUUGUGAAAGUUUGCGGCUCAACCGUAAAAGUGCAGUUGAAACUGGCAGUCUUGAGUACAGUAGAGGUGGGCGGAAUUCGUGGUGUAGCGGUGAAAUGCUUAGAUAUCACGAAGAACUCCGAUUGCGAAGGCAGUUCACUGGACUGCAACUGACACUGAGGCUCGAAAGUGUGGGUAUCAAACAGGAUUAGAUACCCGAGUAGUC
rnacentral:rRNA from 1 species